rnacentral:rRNA from 1 species
AUUGAACGCUGGCGGCAUGCCUUACACAUGCAAGUCGAACGGCAGCACGGGCUUCGGUCUGGUGGCGAGUGGCGAACGGGUGAGUAAUGUAUCGGAACGUACCUUUCAGUGGGGGAUAACGUAGCGAAAGUUACGCUAAUACCGCAUAUUCUGUGAGCAGGAAAGCAGGGGAUCGCAAGACCUUGCGCUGAUUGAGCGGCCGAUAUCAGAUUAGCUAGUUGGUUAGGUAAAGGCUCACCAAGGCGACGAUCUGUAGCGGGUCUGAGAGGAUGGUCCGCCACACUGGAACUGAGACACGGUCCAGACUCCUACGGGAGGCAGCAGUGGGGAAUUUUGGACAAUGGGGGCAACCCUGAUCCAGCCAUGCCGCGUGAGUGAAGAAGGCCUUCGGGUUGUAAAGCUCUUUCGGCCGGGAAGAAAUCGCAUGGGUUAAUACCCUGUGCGGAUGACGGUACCGGCAUAAGAAGCACCGGCUAACUACGUGCCAGCCGCCGCCGUAACAC